UAGCAAGGUUAACCGAAUAGGGGAGCCGGAGGGAAACCGAGUCUUAAUUGGGCGUUAAGUUGCAGGGUAUAGACCCGAAACCCGGUGAUCUAGCCAUGGGCAGGUUGAAGGUUGGGUAACACUAACUGGAGGACCGAACCGACUAAUGUUGAAAAAUUAGCGGAUGACCUGUGGCUGGGGGUGAAAGGCCAAUCAAACCGGGAGAUAGCUGGUUCUCCCCGAAAGCUAUUUAGGUAGCGCCUCGUGAAUUCAUCUCCGGGGGUAGAGCACUGUUUCGGCUAGGGGGCCAUCCCGGCUUACCAACCCGAUGCAAACUGCGAAUACCGGAGAAUGUUAUCACGGGAGACACACGGCGGGUGCUAACGUCCGUCGUGAAGAGGGAAACAACCCAGACCGCCAGCUAAGGUCCCAAAGUCAUGGUUAAGUGGGAAACGAUGUGGGAAGGCCCAGACAGCCAGGAUGUUGGCUUAGAAGCAGCCAUCAUUUAAAGAAAGCGUAAUAGCUCACUGGUCGAGUCGGCCUGCGCGGAAGAUGUAACGGGGCUAAACCAUGCACCGAAGCUGCGGCAGCGAACGUAUCACCCAAGACAACUUUACGGAGUUGACGAUUGACGGAGCGAAGCGACGUCAAAGCGUUCAUUAAAGUCGAGUUGGCUUAGGGAUACGUUCGUUGGGUAGGGGAGCGUUCUGUAAGCCUGUGAAGGUGUGUCGUGAGGCAUGCUGGAGGUAUCAGAAGUGCGAAUGCUGACAUAAGUAACGAUAAAGCGGGUGAAAAGCCCGCUCGCCGGAAGACCAAGGGUUCCUGUCCAACGUUAAUCGGGGCAGGGUGAGUCGACCCCUAAGGCGAGGCCGAAAGGCGUAGUCGAUGGGAAACGGGUUAAUAUUCCCGUACUUGGUGUUACUGCGAAGGGGGGACGGAGAAGGCUAUGUUGGCCGGGCGACGGUUGUCCCGGUUUAAGCGUGUAGGUGUGUGUUCCAGGUAAAUCCGGUUCACUUUAACACUGAGGCGUGACGACGAGGCACUACGGUGCUGAAGCAACAAAUGCCCUGCUUCCAGGAAAAGCCUCUAAGCAUCAGGUAACACGAAAUCGUACCCCAAACCGACACAGGUGGUCAGGUAGAGAAUACCAAGGCGCUUGAGAGAACUCGGGUGAAGGAACUAGGCAAAAUGGUGCCGUAACUUCGGGAGAAGGCACGCUGACACGUAGGUGAAGUGAUUUACUCAUGGAGCUGAAGUCAGUCGAAGAUACCAGCUGGCUGCAACUGUUUAUUAAAAACACAGCACUGUGCAAACACGAAAGUGGACGUAUACGGUGUGACGCCUGCCCGGUGCCGGAAGGUUAAUUGAUGGGGUCAGCGUAAGCGAAGCUCCUGAUCGAAGCCCCGGUAAACGGCGGCCGUAACUAUAACGGUCCUAAGGUAGCGAAAUUCCUUGUCGGGUAAGUUCCGACCUGCACGAAUGGCGUAAUGAUGGCCAGGCUGUCUCCACCCGAGACUCAGUGAAAUUGAACUCGCUGUGAAGAUGCAGUGUACCCGCGGCAAGACGGAAAGACCCCGUGAACCUUUACUAUAGCUUGACACUGAACAUUGAGCCUUGAUGUGUAGGAUAGGUGGGAGGCUUUGAAGUGUGGACGCCAGUCUGCAUGGAGCCGACCUUGAAAUACCACCCUUUAAUGUUUGAUGUUCUAACGUGGACCCGUAAUCCGGGUUGCGGACAGUGUCUGGUGGGUAGUUUGACUGGGGCGGUCUCCUCCUAAAGAGUAACGGAGGAGCACGAAGGUUGGCUAAUCCUGGUCGGACAUCAGGAGGUUAGUGCAAUGGCAUAAGCCAGCUUGACUGCGAGCGUGACGGCGCGAGCAGGUGCGAAAGCAGGUCAUAGUGAUCCGGUGGUUCUGAAUGGAAGGGCCAUCGCUCAACGGAUAAAAGGUACUCCGGGGAUAACAGGCUGAUACCGCCCAAGAGUUCAUAUCGACGGCGGUGUUUGGCACCUCGAUGUCGGCUCAUCACAUCCUGGGGCUGAAGUAGGUCCCAAGGGUAUGGCUGUUCGCCAUUUAAAGUGGUACGCGAGCUGGGUUUAGAACGUCGUGAGACAGUUCGGUCCCUAUCUGCCGUGGGCGCUGGAGAACUGAGGGGGGCUGCUCCUAGUACGAGAGGACCGGAGUGGACGCAUCACUGGUGUUCGGGUUGUCAUGCCAAUGGCACUGCCCGGUAGCUAAAUGCGGAAGAGAUAAGUGCUGAAAGCAUCUAAGCACGAAACUUGCCCCGA
rnacentral:rRNA from 1 species